GAUGAAGAACGUAGCGAAAUGCGAUAAGUAAUGUGAAUUGCAGAAUUCAGUGAAUCAUCGAAUCUUUGAACGCACAUUGCGCCCGCUAGUAUUCUGGCGGGCAUGCCUGUUCGAGCGUCAUUACGCCCCUCAAGUCCCCUGUGGACUUGGUGUUGGGGAUCGGCGAGGCUGGUUUUCCAGCACAGCCGUCCCUUAAAUUAAUUGGCGGUCUCGCCGUGGCCCUCCUCUGCGCAGUAGUAAAACACUCGCAACAGGAGCCCGGCGCGGUCCACUGCCGUAAAACCCCCCAACUUUUUAUAGUUGACCUCGAAUCAGGUAGGACUACCCGCUGAACUUAAGCAUAUCAAUAAGCGGAGGA
rnacentral:misc_RNA from 1 species